CUAAGAGUUCUUUACUGUUCUCUUAAUUUCGAUUGCACUGACGUCUGAAGACACACACACAAAAGAUAAUGUACGAAAUUAUCUGACUGCAUAAUUAGAAUUGCCAAAAGCUGAUGCCAGCCAAUCGCUUCCAAAUAAGACAAGAUGUUUCUUUCCACUGUUUAAUACGUUUUUGUUGAAACAGCUUUCGUGCGUGGUCUUGCAGGUGCAGCAGGAGUCCUUGCCAAAAAGGGGGCUGAUUACAGAGGCUGUGAAAACAGCUACACUGUGUUGCUAAAACAUCUUCAAGGUCUUUAGCAAAGGAUAAAUUCUGAUGAUGAAGUCUGCAUCGCAUUGAGAUCAUCCAGCCUGUUAACAUGACAAGAAACUCACAGUUCAUGGGGGGCUGUGCUCGUUGUUCCUUUUUCCUAUGCUUAUACCUCUUUGAGAAAUAACUGUAAAGAGGCAUAGGGCAUGGGAAAAUGGGGCGGCAGAGGUAAUCCACAAAUCAGGACUCGGAAAGCAACAAGAUUCAACACUGUUUUCAACUUUUAUGCUAUUUGUGUAUCAAAAAUGUAAUGCAAUUGCUUUGUGUGUGCAUUAAAAUAAAUAUUAUUUUGAUGUUCA